AUUGAACGCUGGCGGCAUGCCUUACACAUGCAAGUCGAACGGCAGCACGGGAGCAAUCCUGGUGGCGAGUGGCGAACGGGUGAGUAAAGUAUCGGAACGUGCCCAGUCGUGGGGGAUAACGUAGCGAAAGUUACGCUAAUACCGCAUACGAUCUAUGAAUGAAAGCGGGGGAUCGCAAGACCUCGCGCGAUUGGAGCGGCCGAUAUCAGAUUAGGUAGUUGGUGGGGUAAAGGCUCACCAAGCCGACGAUCUGUAGCUGGUCUGAGAGGACGACCAGCCACACUGGGAUUGAGACACGGCCCAGACUCCUACGGGAGGCAGCAGUGGGGAAUUUUGGACAAUGGGCGAAAGCCUGAUCCAGCCAUGCCGCGUGCAGGAUGAAGGCCUUCGGGUUGUAAACUGCUUUUGUACGGAACGAAAAGGUUUGGCCUAAUAAGCUGAGCUCAUGACGGUACCGUAAGAAUAAGCACCGGCUAACUACGUGCCAGCCGCCGCAGUAA
rnacentral:rRNA from 1 species